AGAUAAGAAAGGCCUGCUUACUGGGAUGGCUGCAGGGGGAGCUGAGAGGAGAGCUGAAACUCAGUUCAUCUGGGCCACUGACUCAGAAGUCUUUCUUCCACUGGGCCUCUGCUGGGGCCCCAUGAGGGAGGCACAGGUCUGUACCUCAUUGACAGAGGGCACACAGGAGGCCCAAGUGAUUCGCCCAUCAUUAUGCAGAUGGCAAGUUGGAAGUCAAGGUUCACACCCAGGCAGCUGGGGUCCAGAGUUCACCCUCUUAAUCACUGUCGUGGGAAACCUCCUCCAAGAGCUGCCUUGCAGUGGGUGCUUGGAAGGUGAGUUGGACCAGGUCUGGGUCCUCUUCAGAUGACGAUCCAGACUCAGCGAGGUUGAGCAACCUGCCCACGGACACUCAGCCAAGACCCAGGCCAUCUGUCAGCUUAUUUCCCUGCCACCUAGAAACCACCUGGCUAGCUGGUCUCAAAGGAACUGGGGCUUUCUGCAGACACGGAGCUAGCUGUGAACUCUGAGGGCAAGUUUCUGAUACUGUAUUUUGCUGGUGGGACCAGGAGUUAUUGUUUGGGUCCUUGGGAACUAGCAAGGCCUCUUGGGAAUGUCAUCUGUAAGAAUCUGUUAACAUUUAGAAACACACAUUUCCUUUGGUCCUGCCAUCCCACACUGGGAAUCUCCUCUGCAGAAAUGAAAAGCCUAUAUGUCAGGCCACAGGAACGGCUUCCCAGGUGGCACUAGUGGUAAAGAACCCGCCUGUCAAUGCCGGAGACUCAACAGACACAGGUUCGAUCCCUGGGUCCCCUGGAGGAGGAAAUAGCAAGCCAUUCCAGUAUUCUGGCCUGGAAAAUUCCAUGGGCAGACAGCCUGGCGGACUACAGCCCAUGGGGUUGCGAAGAGUCAGAUACAACUGAGCACACAGACAUGAGGCCGUAGGAACGGGACUUGACUGUCGUGCGUUUGUGGUGGCAAAAGUCUAGAA
ensembl:lncRNA